GGUGGUUGUAGUUCAAUCGUAACGAGGUCUUUAGACCGAGUGAAGAUCAUAGUCGAAGACUAUGAGUUGGUAGAGCAGUUGAUUUGUAAUCAACCGGUCGUAGGUUCGACUCCUAUCAUCAGCUCCA
rnacentral:tRNA from 1 species